UUCUUUUCUGUAUACGAUAUCUCCUUCCCCUUUCUCUUUAAAAUUCUAUUUUAUUCUUAUUUUUAUCUAUAAUAAUAAUAAGGUCCUGCCCCGUUUUAAGUAUUGUAACUCCCGAUCACCGCUACCCUUUCCGAUUGAUCUGAGUCUCAUAACAUAUGUCCGGGCUCUGCCCGACUAAGUUGUUGGGAUUCUAUCUCGGGACUUCGGGACAAGGUUGAAUUAGGGGUACUAUGCUUACCACGAGUGCAAUAUAUAUUUUUAAUAGCCCAUAAGUUAUACCCAAAAUUUAUACCAGGAGAUUUUCUAGUUGAACCCUAAAAUUACACAGUGGGUCCAUUCUCUUUUCUCACUAUUUUAUUCCCUUUUUCUUUAUAAUAUAAUUAUACUCAAAAAUAUCCCAAAUUGAUCCGUUAGUAAAAACCCGGACCCCUGAAACCCCAAAUCAUACCAACAAUCAAGAAAUCAAGAAUUCUUGUCUUCAGGCGGGCCGCGUAAAGAUAAGCCGAGGCUUACGCGGGCCGCGCCAGCAAGGCGGAUUUCCGGAUAAGCUUGAGGGACACGUGGCAUCCACCUGGCAGACCUACUGGUGACUCAGCAACCCUACGCGUAGACUAGGCGGCUACGCGGGCCGCGUAAGAAUCAAGCCAAGGCUCACGCAGGCCGCGUGAGACCCAAUUUUCAGCUAUAAAUAGGACAGGCCACGAGCUUUCAGUUGAUGUCGAAACCAAAACUCGAAAAUAUAUUCCCACUGCUCAAAACCACAAAUUAGCAUAACGGGGUGCUGCUACGAUACAGGGUAUUAACUCGGUCGCUAUUACGAUUCAAUAUCCGAUCGACUGAAACUAUCCGACAGGAUGUUUAAGUGCUAUCCUUUGUCAUUAGUCGUGAUUCCGACAGGAUGUUUGAGUGCCGCCCAAACUCGGGGUAGACUCUGUCAUUCGUUGUGAAUCCGAUGAAUGUUUAAGUGAUUGCACUUUGUCAUUCGUUGUGAGGGUUUUAAUCUUGUGAGUUAUCGUAAAUGUUGUCUUAGUUACUUACCUAGUUCGUGUGCACUAGGUUACAAGGCUAAUCUAUAGGCUAAGCUCUGCCUGUAUUAAUCUGCAAUAUCAAGGCUUAUCUAUAGACUAAACUUUGCCCGUAUGAAUCUGCAUGCUUAUAAUGUAAUUACAGUAGAUUGGAGUAAGAAUUGGAUUCGGCACUGAAAGACUUCAAGAAGUGGCUUAUUUUGUUAAUUAAAUCAAAUUAAGAAAUAUUGUUUUAUGUAAUAAAAUUUAUCUUUAUUAAAGCUACCAUUGUAAACCAUGGGUUUAUCCCAUCUAUUUAAUAAAUAAAAAUCCGGUGUUUUUAAACUCUG
rnacentral:lncRNA from 1 species